ACAGAAUCACAGAAUAUCCUAAGCUAGAAGGGACCCAUAAGGAUCAUUGAGUCCAACUCCUUGAAGAGUGCAUUAAAUUCAAAAGAUGCCCAUUCUGCCAGCCCUUUUGCUUUCCUUUUUUCCCAUGGAUUAUGUUGAUAAGGACUACAGAGCCUGAAUUCUACAUUUGGAGAGAGGCUUUCCCAAAGAUCUUAGAGGUGGGAAAAAGAGAAUAAGAAGUGGCUGGAGGGUGAAGAGUUAAGGAACCCGUAGCUUGAGCUGCUCUCGAGGGAGACAGGAAAGCUGUAGAGAUUUGGCACUACAUGCAGAUCCCAAAAAUUAGAUCAUAGCACAUAAUUAUCCUCCAAACUGGUCCCGGUGCCAAAAUCUUAAUAUCUGGGAUUGUUAUAAUUUGAAGUCAUGUAGGAAAUCCAGAGUUCCAAUCAAUUGCAUUCCCAUGCCCAGUCGCUCCCUGUCCUUGCCCGUUUUACAAUAAAACAUACCUGGCAUUGUGUGCAGAGUGAGUAACGAUUCCUGUGCAGAAAGGGAAGAGAGAGAAACACGGAGAACUCUCCCAGGCACUGCAGGCAGCGGGCAGGCAGUGCUGGCACGAUGCGGCCGUGACUCAGCCCUGCGUUCCUCUGCCAGUGGCCGCUGCCUCUUCCACCCCAUCCUGCUCCUUUCGGGACACAGUUUGCAACGUGCAUGCAAAAUCUGCUGCAGUUCUUAUUAGCUCAGCUUGUGUCUUUCUGUCAGGAUGCACCCGGCUCUUCUAAAAUCUCAGCACUUGCACAGGGCUGAAUUCAGUGCAGCCGUUCCUAAAAAAAAAAGGUCGCUGCACAAUGUCCCACAGACUCUCAGGAAUCCAACCAGAAGAGAACGUGAACUUUGCAUCACAGUGCCAGGGGGACAACAAUGCUUUCUUUGGGCAAUAAGUGGGAGCAGGAUGGGGUCCAUCACCCCUGGGAUGGCACAGGGAGCAGGCACAAGGCUUGUUCCAGCACUAAGCACUACACUUCCCUACAUGCACGCACACAGUUCGGCAUGCCACCACCCCAAUGAGCAGCUCUGCAGGCUGGUGGCACCAAACCAGCUUUUCUAUAGCAGCGAGCUGGGGGUGGAAGAUGUUCUGCAGGCAGAGGUGCUGUUAUCUGUGAAUUGGGUGCUGCUAGGAAUAGGAAGCUCAGCCAAGGACGAGCUACCAGAGCUUCUAGUGAGGAAAACAGCAGUGCAGGGGCAGCUGAGCCUGCAGUGAUGAAGGGCAGGACAUGCCUUGCGAUCUGGGCUUUUUUUUUCCCACUUCCUGUUUAUAGGUUGACUGCAUUUCCCCAGCGUUUGAACUUCUCCGUCACGCUGUUUCUCUGCUGCUGCUGACACUGAGUGAGAAUUAAUAAGCUUCCUCUGAGCAAAUAUCUUUAUUUAAACAAGCUGCUGCCCUGCCAGCAGCCCGCUGGUGAAUGGCAUUUUGCAGCAGGCAGGAUGUGGGCAGAGCUCCCCAGCAGCACCAGCAAUGAUCCCAGGUGCUCUCAGCAUUGCAAUAGAAGCACCUGUGCUGAAGGAGUAUUUGCAGGGUUGCUUUCUUUUUUUUCCUCCUUUCCAUCGAAGGAGGCUGAACAUGACUGAGGAUCUGGCUCCAGUCUCUGGUACUACACAGUUGACCUCAAGCCUGGUGAAUUCUUCCAAAAACCCGGCCUGCCUUGCCCCCCAGCCCCAGUCUUCCAACUGUCGUGAGCAGUGGAGCAAGGAGGUGGCAGCUGUGUUUUUGGCUUUUCCUGCAUUGAAUUAUACUGCAGUGAUCUCCAAACAAGACAUUUCUCAAUCAGACGUGAAAUGUUUGUUUUCCUGUUCAAAAAAUUAAUCUGCUGCCCGUGGUAUGCAUGGCAUCUUGCAUAUUUCUCUCCCUACUCACUGUCAAGUGACUUGAUAAUUCCAACAGAAACUGCCACAAAAGCUGGAAGUCAGAUGGUCUGCAACUUAAUUAAUCAAUCAGUUUACUAUAUUAGCAAACUUAAAGGAAUUCUGAUGCGGACCCAAUGCUUAAAUCUGCUGCGACAUCUGCAGUCAAUCAUGCUUACAUUACCCAUUAACAAAUUACAUCUGUGCUAAGCAAGAUACCCUGUGGUUCCACCAUGCAGAGAGCUGGAGGACCACGGGCACCAGGACGAGCAAGGCACAAAGGAGAGAGGUUACAGCAGAACAGAAAAAUCCACAUAUGAAAUGAUGGGCAGCCAUCCAGGAAUAAUGAGACAAAGAUGAUAAUGUAAACCUCAGAAGAGAAAGCGCUGGCUAUUGCAGUCAGGAUUUUUGCAUUUGCAGUGCUAUAGACGGCCAACAGAAAGAAACACAGCCUGUCAAGCAUGUAAAGCAAUCCAACAUACAUUAAAAGAACAUGUAUCAGCUGGAUGUAAGGCACAGACACGCACCCAAGUCUACAUUUAGGUGCUAAAAUGUAAGCACCCCAGCUCCCAGGAGAGCUGAGCAUCCACAGGUAUGUGCAAAGAUAGAC
rnacentral:lncRNA from 1 species